rnacentral:tRNA from 1 species
GAGGUGCAGCUCAGUGGUAGAGCACUUGCCUAGCACAUGAGAGGGACUGGGUUCGACCCUCAGCAUUACA